ACUCCAAGCUGUGUUGCUUCAGAGAGAAGUUGCUAAGAAGGCUUCUGUUGCAAAUGGCACAAGCUGAAUGUUUCCCAGUGCCAGGCAAUCCCUCACCCAAGACAACUUGUACAGGCCCUUCACAUCCUCUUGGUGCUUUUUCAACACAGCAGCUGUACAGGCUGACUUCUGUCAAUCUGUGUUUUCCAAAGCACCAUCUAUUGAAAAGUCUCUUAUUUCUCCAUUAAAUUUUUUGGCACCUUCAUUGAAAAUCAGUCGAGCAUAAAUAAAAGCUGGGAUACAUGAAGACUGCCAUCCCUUGAGUCACUUGCCCUGUAGCUGCCACUGUUGGAAAAGGGCUUGCUUCUGUGUCCUUGUGCCCACUUUGAAAAUCCCUGGGAAGUCCUUGGAGUCAGAUGAGCAGGCCUCCGCCACUCUGCCAAAAAGUCUGUUCAAUCAGGAGUCCCCAACCCCUGAGCCAUGGACUGAUAUGGAGCUAUGGUCUGUUAGGAACUGGGCUGCCCAGGAGGAGGUCAAUGGUGCUUCUACAAUUUCCUUAUAGGAGGAGUGAAGAGUAAGCAUUUGGAUUGGACCAGGAUUUGGAGAACUUGUCAUGUUGCUCUACGUGCAUAUGAAAUACAUCAUUGUAACUUAGAAUGUGAAUUACAGAACAAACAUGAAAGUUAGAAAAAUAUUCUAAACAUAUUUUUAUGAUCUCUACUUGCAAUAAGGAAACUGUUAGGCUUUUCCAUCAAAGAAUAAGUGCAACAAAAACAAAAAUUUCUGGAUGGAAAAAAGGAGAUUUGAGGGGCAAGGCUAAAGCCCCCCAAACCUUCCUCAGGAUGAACACAAACCCCAUCUUUAUUUUCCUGUUGCCACUGUUCCAUGUUGCUGGGCUCUAUUCCAGCAAAAUUUUGGAAAGCGUUGCUACAGUUCUGCUCAUUUCUUUCUCACUUCAGAACAAUGAUGCCCUUUCCAGAUAAAGCAUCUUAAUUAAACAGAUGACAUUUGAACUAGACCUUGAAGAACAGGUCAGAGUUAUAUUGGGAAAGAAGUAGGAGAGGAACACCCAGAAAAUAACAUUUAUGAACAUAAAGGCACAGAAUAUAAAUGUCUCUGACAAAGACAGAAAUCAAGGGUAAAUUUUAGUGUGGCAUAGAUUAAUUCACUAACUCAAUAUAUAUAUAUUUACAUAGAGAGCAUGGAUAGAUACUAGAAAUAAAACAAUGGAUUAGACAUGGGCAACCUCAUGAUGUUUAGCAAAUAUUGUGUUCUUUAAGGCAGCAGUUCCCAACCUUUUUGGUACUAGGGACCGGUUACGUGGAAGACAAUUUUUCCACAGACUGGGAUGGGGGGACUGUUUUCAAGACAAUUCAAGCACGUUACAUUUAUGGUGCACUUUAUUUCUAUUAUUACUGCAUUGUAAUACAUAAUGAAAUAAGUACACAACUCACCAUAAUGUGGCAUCAUUGGAAGCCCUGAGCGUGCUUUCCUGCAACUAGACAGUUCCCUCUGGGGCCAAUGGGAAACAAUGACAGAUCAUCAGGCAUUAGAUUCUCAUGAGGAGCCCGCAACCUACAUCCCUCACAUGCACAGUCCACAAUAGGAUUCAUGCGCCUAUGAGAAUCUAGUGUCAUGGCUGGCAGAUAUAACAGAAGAUGGAGUUCAGGCGAUAAUGUGAGUAAGAGGGAGCGGCCAGAAAUACAGAUGAAACUUCACUCACUCACUUGCCACUCACCUCCUGGUCUGCGUCCUGGUUCCUAACGGGCCAUGGAUAGUUACAAGUCUGUGGCCCAGGGGGUUGAAGACCCCUGCCCUAGAGUACAUAUGCAGUGGAUGUUGAGAAACAGAUUAAUUCAUUAAUGCAGAGUCUUCAUAUUCCAAACAAAAGAUUUGAGGGUUUUAUCUGUUAUAACAACACUUGUGUUUCACUAAUUAUGUCAGGCACGACUCUAAUAACUUCAAAUUUAUUCACUCACCUAUUAUUAGAACAACAUUAUGAUAUAGGAAUACACUUGAUAUGUCCAUUAUACUGAUGAGGAGAUUCAGACAUAGAGUAGUUAUUUAACUUGGGUAAGGUCUUCAGAGCUAAUAAGAGGAAGAACCAGGACUUGAGCAUGGGUAGGGUGGCUUCAGAGUGGUAGUCUGGCUGUUUGUUUGUAAUCACCAAAAUGAAGCUACAGUGAUGUUUCAGUUUACAUAACAGAGUCCUGAGGCUUAAAGAUGCCAGGAAAUUAAUUUAAAGAUAUUGUAGUACGUAUCCCUGUCCAGACUAGAACUCCAGUCCAGGAGAACGCCAGUGCUCCUUCUGUUUCACAUAGAGAACACAUCAGUACUGUGACACACAGAAAGGUUUUAGUGGGAUGCUUGGUUAAGAGAAAUACGUUUACAACAAAAGAGGUGAUACUGUUGCUUGUCUUAGAAAAAUAUGGGAGACCUCAAUCAGCUGAAGUUCAACAUGUUCAAAGGUGGACAAAGUUUCUCGUUGCUCUAAGUAAGUUUAAAAUUGAGCCAAAAAGGUCUUGAUUGAUAAGGGUGGCUGAUACAUUUUUGAAUGUUUUCACUGGCAUGAUUCACAAAAUUGUAUAAAUUGUAUAGUCCCAGGCUAUCCCACCAUUAACUGCCUCAUGGGGACUGUCUCUAACUUCCCCAGGACUUGAUCCAUAGGGAAAUGCUUGCAAGAAUAAAAAGCAUUAAUGAAUUCAGGAUUCGUUUCUCACUAAACAGCAGUUUGGGGUGAUGUCACACACACACACACACACACACACACACAAAAAUGGAACAAGCCAGCCCCAUUUUCAGCAUUGCCUCAUUUAAGCUUGGCACACAAAGACAAUUGAUGCUGACUCAGAGUUAUUUCAAGAUGGAAAGAGUGUCCUGAAUUAUCACACCCCACGUAAUCCUAGCCACCCUGUAUUCCUUCUCCUUACUGUCCCAUAGGUGGGUACAUCCAUCCCAGAUAACAAGGUUUGACUCAUUUAAGGCCCUUUUCCUUCUGCACAAGAUCCUGAAAUUUUCCCUACCGUGUGUGUUUGAUGGUGCAGAAGAAAUAAUUCUCAAAAAUAAACUAGUUUAUCAUUAGAUGGAAGCAAGGUAUCACCUUUAUUAAUGAGAAAGCAGAGUUUGAAGGACAUAGUGCAUUCCUCAUGCAGCUAGACCCUCUGCUAUUGGCUCCUGCCUUUAAAUUAGAAAGCCUUACUUUUCCAUCUGCAGGUAUUGCUAUCCCUUUACAAGCCUCUGCUCCCACGGAAAGAAAAUUGUGCAACAUACGACAAAAAGCAAUAGAGGCUUCAGACUCUCCAAAAAGAAAAAGAAAUUAUGUCAAGAAUGUAGUUUAUUAUUUCCCAAUUGACUCUAAGAUUAAAUUGACUCUAAGAUUAGUCAGUAACUUUUCCAUGAUGUAAUGAGUAAUGAGACAGAGAGAAGCAGAGUGUUCCACUAAUUGAUCUCAAUCCACAAGAAAGGAAAAGUAUUUCCUCCUUCCUUCCUCCACAUUGUGUUCUCUUAGAACUGUGCUUUACUUGCCCAGGGAAAAGAACACAAGUUGAGUUUAAGAAGCCAGUUCUUCCCAUUCCAAGAUGAGGCCCCACAUCCAAUGCUAACACUACUUCUUGGAGUGAAUACACUUUAGAACUAUCAAUGAAUGAACUGAGCUGAACUUCCCCAACCCCUGUAGACUCUAAAAUGGGUCAGAAGAGCACAUUGGUUAAAACAAGUCUAAGGCUGAAAAUUUAAUCUCUAUUUGAUUUUCUGGCUUACAUUUUUUUUCUCAGUAACCUUGCCAAAAUAGCCUAGUAGGAGAUCCAUUUUGAACUUGAGUGAUAACAUAAUUAUACUCGAAUCACAAAAUGUCAAUAAUGAGAUGACCCACAUUUAAAUAACAUAUUUUUUUGCUACUAUAACAUUACUGGGCCUAUAUUAAAAUAGAAAGAUUAAAUUAUUUUGCAACUUACUUAAAGUAUAAAUAUAAUGCUUCCAAAGAAUUAAGGGCCAAAUCAUUUUUUUUCCUGAUACUUGUGAGGUAAAAUUUAACAGAUUUUAAAGUCCCCACUCAUUUAAUUUUUUGGCCACUUGGUGUCAGCUGGAAGAGUUCUCAAUACAUUGGACAAGACAGUGAUCUCUAAGCAUUUGAAAAUUGAGCUCUUUCUCAUUGGAAGGGGUGUAUUUUCUUCUUCAUGGUCUCAGAGGUUGUAUUUGUUUAACACUGAGUCUCUGAAGUUCUUCACUAUUUAAAAAAUUCCAAGAAGUUACUGUUAAAGAAAAGAUUAUCAUAGCAAUGGCAUUUAUUCUGAGAACUGGAUAAACAGCAAUCCAUCACGGCUUCUAGAAGAGUUUUCACAGAGAAAAAUAUUUUCAACCUGAUCAUUUGUAUUGCCAAAGACUGCGGCAGAAACUUAGUAUUGUGCUAAAAGAAGAUGGAUAUCUUGGUGGAGACCUUGCUGGCAUAUCAUUCAGUUCAUGCUAUUUUUAAAAAAUCUAAUAAUUGAAAUUUUAACUCAGUUGGAAAACUUUCUCACCAAGAUAUUCAUUCUGGAAUUUUUUACUAUAUCAAUAAAAUUUACUUAUAACUACUGCCUGAUAAGUCAGAAUGGAUUUGCUUGCUUUUCCACUCAUAACAUUCAAAAGCUCCUGGCUUCCAUGUCUGCUGAAUGGGGAUUCUACAAAGUAAAUGGAGUUCCCCACACUUUCUUAUGAUAAAGAAUUUUUCAGUUCUGAAAUACUAAGGCUGCUUCUCCUUCAUUUAAUUUAUCUUUCAAAUUUUUAAGACAUAUAAAAAUAUCCCUUCUUUGAGAGGGUUUCCCCUCUUAUAAGUAAUUAAGAGAUACAGAAUUAAUUUAUCACAAGAUAGUGUUGAUAGCAGGAGGGUGAGUUAGUUGAUACUUGACCCCAUGGAAAAGCUGGUUGAUAUGGUUGACUGUGUUCCCACCCAAAUCUCAUCUUGAAUUGUAUUCCCCAUAAUUCUCACAUAUUGAGGGAUGGACCUGGUGGGAGGCGACUGGAUUAUAGGAGCAGUUUCCCCCAUGCUGUUCUCGUGAUAGUGAGUUCUCACAAGAUCUGAUGGUUUAGCUUCCUUCCUUCAAUUCUCUCUCUCACCUGCUGCCAUAUAAGACGUGCCUGCGUCACCUUCAGCCAUGAUAAUAAGUUUCCUGAGGCCUCCCCAGCCAUGCAGAACUGUAAGUCAAUUAAACCUCCUUCCUUUAUAAAUUACCCAGUCUCGGUGAUAUUCUUUAUAGGAGUGUGAGAACAGACUUAUACCCUGGUACUGCCUCUAGACCUGCAAUCUCCUUCCUCAACUUGAAUCAUAACUAAAAUUCGGCAGCCAAUUUAACCUUUUCCCUAGGCCUGGUGUUAACAGUUUCAACCUAGAACUACCCUUGUGCACUGUAACACACUCAUAAUUCACUUUCUUUCAGACUAAGCACAGCACAUAUUCCUCAACCACUGAGGCCUAAAAGUUCUUUAGUGAUGAUAUGUUGUCUCUAAUCAAACUCUUGCCUCAGCUGACCCUUUUAACUGAUGCCUCUGAGGCCACCACUAUUUGCAUGCUCCCUGUUCUUCAUGCACAUAAACUAAGCACAGGUCAAGAUCACAGUGCUGGGACCUGUACCCACAGGCAGUCUACAAAUUUGUUGGGACUCCAGAAGCCCUCUUCACAUUUGUUGGGGUGUCCUUCUAUAUAAGCUAUCACAGAACUCUGGCCAGUGUCACAAUAACCUGCAGUAACCUGCCAUGGUCAAAAUAGUCCAAAGAUUCAAAGAUUCAAAGUCCCUAGACCAUGCCACACAUUCAUAAAGCCAACUCCACAAUGAAAAACCAGCUGCACUGUGUAAUGCAGGUGGCAAGUCACUAAGAUUAAAAAAAAAGAGAAAAAAAAAAAAAAACAGCCAGCAUGGCCUGUGCUUAGAAAAGCACAGUUUACAAGCAUCUGUUCCAGCUCUGCCAAAAGCCAAAAUCAUUCCAUGCAUAACUUGUUUCCAAAAUUUUACACCUUGCUCAUUUCUCAAGGUGCAUAGCCCACGCAUCAGAGUUAUUUGAGAGAAGCUAAAUGAAUAACAUUCCUUUUGCCAUGACCUGGAUUACAAACUAACUGAAAAAUAACGUUUCAAGCAAAUAAAAGCCAAAAUAUACCCAUUAUUAAUAAUAAGGGUAGAUUGGGAUACAAAACUUACAUUUGUGAGCAAUUGGACGUACUAACACUAGCUUCUGAAUUAGACACACUUACUGAUCCAACCAUAGAUAAUUCUGCAUGGAAACAGACCUGGUAAAAGUUACAGAAUGAAGGAACAACAUGUGAUAAAUGCAUCUGCUGUGAGACAAACUUUCAAGGCACACGGUUUGCACACAGAAGAUCACUCUCUUCUUGGAUUGGGAAAGAUAGUGUUGGGCUCUCAGAAAAGGCUGGAAGAUUCUUGUUGCAGCGGUUUACAAGGUUUAGUAGGAACAUUCUAGAUGAGAACAUGAGUGGGUGGAGAUUCUAGGAAUACGUGGCACACUAUGUUAAGCAAAGAUACAUGGUGUUUUUUGAGAAAGAGUAAGUCAUUUAUCAUUAUUAGAGUAUAAAGCAUAAAGGGAGAGGUGGGAGGCUACAUGUUUAAAGAGAUUAAAAGGUGCCAACUUAUGAAACUCAUUUAGGAGGAAAUUAGGUGGUUCCAAAGGUUGUAAGUAGCAGAAAUUCAUGAUCAAACAUAGCUUGCUAUUUGCCGCUUUUAUAUACUGUAUUUCUGAAAACAUAAAUUAUAAUGCUUUUAGCACAAUUAAAAUUAUAAUAGUAAAAAUAACGUUCACUAAGCACUUACUGUAUACUAUGACCUUUGCUAAAGCCUUUUCAUUUGUUAUCUCUUUUAAUAUCUAAAGCAACCCUGAGGGAGGGAGGAGUGUUGUCCACAUGGCAGAGUGGAUGAUAAAUGGUAGGACCACGGUUCAAAUGGAAAGCUCCCCACUCCAAAGCCCAGGCUCUCAACCUUCACUCCCCAUGUAUUUUUAAAUAAAGCUCCCUUAUCUUGUCUGAAAGCAGGAAGUUUCACAUCACUAGAGAAGAGAGAAGAAGGACAUUUGUACUGGGAGGAGUCGACCGGUCCCAGUAAGGAGAAAGUAGCUACAGCGUCAUGGGUGAGCUGGGUCCCCCAAAAAGGAACUUUAAGGGAAUGGACUGAAUCAAGUCUGAGAUGUCCCCAAAGCAAGACCAAAGAACUGAGGAAGAGAAGCAUUCAUCAGAAACCAAAAUUCAGCUACAAGUGAGCAUCCAGAUGGAGGUAUUAUGAAGAGGAACUGAGACUGAGGGCAAAAGGUGCCAGCCAGAAUCCUGGAUAGGAGAGCAAGAACCAGGACCUCAUUUAAGAGACAACCUGCUUAAGGCAGAGUAAGGUGAGAUUGGAUUCACGCAAAGACCUGGAAUUCAAGUAGGUUAAUGAACAGACAGUGUGUGCCUAUACCACGAAUUUACAAUAAUAAUAAGGGUGCUAAUAAUCACAUGGAAUUGUAGAGUAUAAUGAAAAUAUACACACUGGAGAGAAAUUGCACGGGUUGGCAUCUCAGCUUUGUCAUUUACUAUAACAGUGACCUUGGGCAAGUUAUUUAACCACUCUCUGCCUCAAUUUCCUGAUCAGUAAAAUGAGCUAAUAAUACUUUCUUUUUAUUUUGAGAUGGAGUCUCACUCUUUCACUGAGGCUGGAGUGCAGUGGUGCGAUCUCGGCUCACUGCAGCCUCCACCUCCCAGGUUCAAGCGAUUCUCCUGCCUCAGCCUCCCCAGUAACCAGGAUUACAAACAUGCACCACCAUACCCAGCUAACAUAAAUAUGAAUAUAUUAUAUAUAUAUUUGUACUUUUAGUAGAGAUGAGGUUUCACCAUGUUGGCCAGGCUGGUCUUGAAUUCCUGACCUCAAGUGAUCUGCCUGCCUCGGUCUCCCAAAGUGCUGAGAUUACAGGCAUAAACCACCAGGCUUGCACUAUUGAUAAUUAUUAUAGCAUAAAGUUUUUCUGAGGACUAAAUGGGGCAAAAUACGUAAAACACUAAUUAUAAUUAUUGGCAAAUCCCAUAAUGCUUGUUGUUAUUAGUAUACUUAGAAUUAUUUUAACAUUAAAAACUGAAAACUGAAGCUCUGAGAGUCUGUGUGACUUUGAGGAUUAAAGAACUGAAAAAUGGUAGAAGUAGAAUUUGAACUAAGAAAGUACGGUUAUUGAAUGCAUGGAUUUAAUCCCUAUUAAAUACUUUAUCUUCCAAAAUCUAUGACUCUUUAGUCUUCUUUGUUAACAAAACCUACUUUACGAAAUACAGAACUCUCAGUUGUAUAUAUCAAAUAAUAUUUGUCUGUAGCUGAAUUCUGUGAACGUAUCCAGUCAUCCAUUCCAUAGUUGUAAGAGCAUUACUUUUUGAGACGGAGUCUUGCUCUGUUGCCCAGGCCGGAGUGCAGUGGCGCGAUCUCGGCUCACUGCAGGCUCCACCUCCUGGGUUCACGCCAUUCUCCCACCUCAUCCUCCCGAGUAGCUGGGACUACAGGUGCCUGCCACCAUGCCAGGCUGAUUUUUUUUGCAUUUUUAAGUAGAGAUGGGGUUUCACCGUGUUAGCCAGGAUGGUCUCGAUCUCCCGACCUCUUGAAACCCCUGCCUCGGCCUCCCAAAGUGCUGGGAUUACAGGCGUGAGCCACCGCGCUGGGCCCACUUGCUUUAAUGAAUGGCCGUGUUCAUAUAUAUACAUAAUAAAAUGUUUCACCCAUGUAGUUGCCCACUGCUUCUGAAAUGCCAUCAAUCUCUGUUGAUAAGCUGCAUUGAUUUUGUUAUAAAUUUGCAACUGUGGAAAAUAAACAUAGACCUGUCCAGCUGUUCACUUCCUCAAGCGACUUAUCUCCAUCUGUUGUGAUCAAUCUAUUCUAGCACUCCUUCAGACUCCCUGCCAAUUAAUUAAUGCCCCUUUGUAAGGUGCUUUCUUCUUGAGUUCUUCCAUGGGGCUUUCCCCAGUAUAGGUGAGAGUAGUGGUGAGCCAUGAAUCAGAGAAUAGUAACAAUGGUCUGGGGUAGGCAGAGAGGGUGGAAUUCAACUUGACCAGUGUGUCAUCCUCAAUAGCAAAGAACUCUUUUUCUCCUUUGAGCAGAAAGUCAGUGGCUCCUGUUAAGCAAUCACUUGAUGCCCUCUAAGAUCUGAACUCUGCUUAGAGCCCCAGGUUCAUCUUGCCAUCCUGUACCCAUCCUGGCCUUCAGUCAACUGCACUUAGAGACGUCUGAAUAACCUGCACCCUCUGUCUUCGCUGUGAUUUUGCAUGUGCUGCUCUCUCUGGAAAAGUUUCUUUCCCCCUAUUUUGUUUCACUUGAUAAUCUCACAUCCUGCUAAUGUAUCAUAUAUGCAGGCUACCUUCACAGGCGCUUCCGCCUGUAUUAGUUUGUUAGUUUUACUGUAACAAACUGCCACAGACUGAGUAGCUUAAACAGCAGAAAUUUCUCACAAUUCUGGAAGCUAAAAGUUCAAAGUCAAGGUGUCGACAGAUUUCGUUUCUUUUAAGGCCCCUCUUCUUGGAUUAUGGAUGGCAAUCUUCUCCCUGUAUCUUCACGUGGUCUUUCUUCUCUUUCUGUGUCCAAAUCUCUUCUUAUAAAAGACACCAGUUAUAUUGAAUUAGUGCCCACCCUAAAGCCUCAUUUUAAUUAUCUUUUAAAAAACCCUGUCUCUGAAAACAGUCACAGUUUGAGAUACUUGGGAUUAGGAUUUCAAUGUAUGAAUAUAAAGGAGACACAAUUCAGCUUGUCACGGGCAUUAACUCCAAAAGAGUCCCUUCUGCUGAUAUUCCUGGCAAGCAACAAGUGCCUCCCUCAGAGCUGGGCUCAGCUGUGUCACGAUUAUGUGUUCAGAUGUCACCUACUGUAGGCUGUGAUCUCUCAAGUCGUGACCUGGCUCCUGUUAGUCUCCUCUCCUCAGUUAGGUAGCAAACUUGUUGGCAGUGUAGGUGGCUAAUUGGUAAAUUGGCAAAUGAUCCAGAAAAAGAGGAUCUUGUUAAUGGAAAUUGUAGUUAUUUACUAAACAUAAUUAUGAAUUUGUCUUUUUAUCUAUCUUCUGUCUUUCUUCCACGUACCACUUAACUGCCAUUAAUUAGGAGAUCGGAUAUGUCUAUAAGUUGCUUUCUACUA
rnacentral:lncRNA from 1 species